rnacentral:miRNA from 1 species
GGAAAUGGGGUGUGUGUGUGUGUGUGUGUGUGUGUGUGUGUGUGUGUCCAUGCGCGCACAUGUGCUCAUACACACACUACACAGCUUAGACU